rnacentral:rRNA from 1 species
AGUCUAUAGAUAGAAUAUUAUAGAUCAAACCUGCUCCAUGAAUAAAUUAAAUAGCUGUAGAAAUACACUAAGGUAGCAUAAUCAAUUGUUUUUUAAUUGGAAACUAGAAUGAAAGGUAAAACCGAAUAUUUACAUAAAGAAGUUAUUUUAUUAAAUUUAAUUUUUAGUUAAAAUACUAAAAUGAUUUUUAGGGACGAAAAGACCCUAGAAGUUUAAAAAUAAUAAUUUAAUUACUAUUUUUAUAUUGGGGCAAUAGGAUAAGUUAAGCAAUUUAUCAUUUUUAUUUGUUAUACUUCUUUAAUGGAGCCGUAACUUGUACGAUUAAAAGAAUAAAUUACUCUAGGGAUAACAGCAUAAUUAAAAGGAAAGAGUUCUUAUUUAUCCUAUUGAUUAUGACCUCGAUGUGAAUUACUUACCUUUAAAUUGCAAAAGAUUUAAAAGGGGGUCUGUUCGACCUUUAAAUAAGUACA